GAUGAACGCUAGCGACAGGCUUAACACAUGCAAGUCGAGGGGCAGCGGGGGCGGAAAGACUUGCUUUCGUCCUGCCGGCGACCGGCGCACGGGUGAGUAACACGUAUGCAACCUGCCCACCGCAGGGGGAGUAAGCCGGAGAAAUCCGGUCUAAUACCGCGUAACAUCCUCGGGAGACAUCUUCCGGGGAUCAAAGGAAGCGAUUCCGGCGGUGGAUGGGCAUGCGGCGCAUUAGCUAGUCGGCGGGGGUAACGGGCCCACCGAGGCGACGAUGCGUAGGGGUUCUGAGAGGAAGGUCCCCCACACUGGUACUGAGACACGGACCAGACUCCUACGGGAGGCAGCAGUGAGGAAUAUUGGUCAAUGGGCGC
rnacentral:rRNA from 1 species